rnacentral:rRNA from 1 species
CAUUACACAAAUAUGAAGCCGGACUGGGAUAGGGCCUCGCUGCCUUGCCCGUCUGGCGCCAUAUUCACCCAUGUCUUUUUGCGUACUACUUGUUUCCUUGGCGGGUCCGCCCGCCAAUUGGACCUUAUUCAAACCUUUUUUUUCAGUUGCAAUCAGCGUCAGCAAAACAAAUGUAAUCAAUUACAACUUUCAACAACGGAUCUCUUGGUUCUGGCAUCGAUGAAGAACGCAGCGAAAUGCGAUAAGUAGUGUGAAUUGCAGAAUUCAGUGAAUCAUCGAAUCUUUGAACGCACAUUGCGCCCUUUGGUAUUCCAAAGGGCAUGCCUGUUCGAGCGUCAUUUGUACCCUCAAGCUUUGCUUGGUGUUGGGCGUUUUGUCUCUCUCCCGAGACUCGCCUUAAAAUCAUUGGCAGCCGGCCUACUGGUUUCGGAGCGCAGCACAUUAUUUGCGCUCUUGUCCAGCCGCGGUCGCGCGUCCAUGAAGCUUCUUUCAACCUUUUGACCUCGGAUCAGGUAGG